CACGAGGAAGCUGUAGAUUGCUAUGAGGUCUCCCCUCAGUCUCAUCCAAGCUGAACAAAUCCCCCUUUGCCUGGUGCGAGGGAGACACGCAGCCCUCCGGCAUUUUCUCCGAGGGAAAGGGUUUUUGAGCUGAAUCAAGUCACAGAAGGGUCUAAUGAGAGCCAGAACCUCUCAAGGAAAAAGAAUGGAAGCAGGAUCUUCUCCUUUUGAUAUCAGCAAGCCUCCAGAUUGUGUCACAGUGCUUCAGACCAAAAGGAGACCCUUUCAAAGAAUACAGCCUUUAAUCUGGAGGCAAACACGUGCCCUGUUUGAAGCCCUCAUCUCUUUUACAAUGACUAGUGUUGCUGC